CAGCAUCAGGAUCUUCAUUCUGCUGUCUGCUCUGUUUUUGGGAAGGCUCUGUUUGAGCACUCUCUGCUGACAGCACGAGGUUAUCACUGGAGGAAGAACACAGCUACACCUUCAGAGUCUGUGGUUUCCUCUGCAGCCGUGUGUUCAGUCUUGUUCAGGAAUCUCUGAUCACACACUGUCUGUUUUAUCACGCUUUGAAUCAUGAAUAACGUCACAGUGUCAUGUUCAGAGAUUCAGACUCCUGUGGGGUUUGUGUACGUGAUUCUGUCUGUUUUACUGAAACACACUGAUGAUCCUGACUGUGAGCAGAGCUGGUAUUCACAGGAUGAUCGUCUGAUAGCAGAUCCAUCAGAUCCUCAGAAACUGAUUGAUUCUGUUAUUUCCGUCUCUUCUGAUCGUCUCGUCACGUCUCAGUGUGUGAAUCUGAAUCAUGAGAUCAUCUGUCAUUCUACAAGAUUCAGACUGAAGACCAUGUUCAGAGUGAGGAAUGAGACGGAGCCCAUCAGCGGAUCGACACAAACCCCAAACUCAUAUCAGUUGUGGUGGCUAGUUGCACUUAUAUCAUUGCUCUUGUCAUCAUCAUCAUGAUCUGUUUCAUGCUGUGGAAGAGAAAGCUCAGGUGAAAAUGUGGAAGACAAUGAUUAAAAUCAAUAGCCUGACUCACAUCACCUCGUCUUCUCGCACAUAUGAGCCUCGCUCCUUUCCCUGGAGGCUUGGAUCUUUCACGCAUGUUUUACAAAUCUAUUAUUUUAACUCCGUUACGUCCCAGCAUUUUUUUUUUAAUUCUCUGUUUACAUCUGUUUACACCAUUUAUUUCUUUUUAUUUGUGCAGCAUGGUUGUAUUUUGUUUUGUGUUGUUGUUGUUGUUGCUAAGCUCAAGCUGAAGCUGUCACUGUGGUAUCUUAUGCUGGUACACUAACCUGGUCAGGAGCAGGCUAAUGGUCAGGUUAAGCUGAGCUCCUCUAACACUGACCAAUAGGAAAGCACUGAUAUAACUGCUGACUCUCUCACAUACUAUUAUGCGACGUUAUCAGUCCAAAAAUAAAAGUAUACAGAAAAUGCAACUUAAAUAAAUCAAAUAAAUAAAAAUAUAGGCUACAACCGACAGUGUUUAAUGUAUUGUGCCCAGGACUUUAUUUUAAGAUAUUUGAAACCAUUUUAACAAUCUGCUACAUGUGCAUUAAUUUCAUCAGCAGUUUCUAGCCAUGCAGCCUUUCUCUCUGGAUUUAUGACAGCUGUACUUUAUGAUUUUUAGUUGAACAUUACAAUAUAAAAUGUUUUUUCAAAGCCUUAAAAACACUAAAUUAAAAAUUAAAAUCACUAAAUUAAAAAUGAAAACAAAUAAUAGAAAUCAGACUACAUUUUUUAACUGAUAAGAGGAAUACACAUGAACUCAUUUAAGCUAGUAAUUACGGUUGUAUUACAUUUGAUGAGCUGAGAGCCUUUUCUCUGUGUGUGAUUGUUGAGCUUAUGUGUUUGUGAGAGCCUGCAGUCUUGAAAGUGUUUCUUUAGUGAACUAAACGCUGGUCUGUUUAUAAUUUGACUCUUGAACUGUACUAUUGAAUCCUCUCUUUUUGUGGAAGCUUUUCUUAAUCAUGUUUUCUCCUGUUUUUGGUUAGAUAGGGAGAGAGGUAAAAGCUAUGCUGUUUAUUUGUUUUUUGUAAGGUAAGUAAGUUGGUUCCUCCCACAUUUAGUCUUCCUUUUGUUUGUUGUUUUGGCCUGGUCCCCUCUCAAA